UUUUUGGAGAGUUUGAUCCUGGCUCAGAGUGAACGCUGGCGGCGUGGAUUAGGCAUGCAAGUCGUGCGAUACUUCGGGUGGAGAGGUUGAAGCCGUAAGGCAGAUACCAAUUCGCCUGAUUCUAUAGCGGCAGACGGGUGAGGAACACGUGAGUAAUCUACCUUUAAGUCAUGAAUAGCUUCGCGAAAGCGGAGGUAAUGCAAGAUGUGCUUACAGAGACAUAAGUCUUUGCAAGUAAAGAGGGCCGGUAACGGUUGGUGCUUAAGGAUGAGCUCGCGUCUUAUCAGCUUGUUGGUAGGGUAAUGGCCUACCAAGGCUUUUGACGGGUAGCUGGCUUGAGAGAGUGGUCAGCCACACUGGGACUGAGACACUGCCCAGACUCCUACGGGAGGCUGCAGUCGAGGAUAUUUAGCAAUGGACGAAAGUCUGACUAUGCGACGCCGCGUGAGGGAUGAAGGCUUUAGAGUCGUAAACCUUUGUUAAGAGGGAUGAAUGGUAAUUAAUUGAAUAAGUUAGUUAUUUGACAGUACCUCUAGAGGAAGCCCCGGCUAACUCCGUGCCAGCAGCCGCGGUAAUACGGAGGGGGCAAGCGUUGUUCGGAUUUAUUGGGUGUAAAGGGCAUGUAGGCGUUCUAAUAAGUCUUGGUUUAAAUCCUUCGGCUUAACCGGAGAAGUGGUCAAGAAACUGUUAGAAUUGAGUUCGGGAGAGGAGAAUGGAAUUCCCGGUGUAAGGGUGAAAUCUGUAGAUAUCGGGAAGAACACCAGUG
rnacentral:rRNA from 1 species